GCCGGGGUAGCUCAGACGGUUAGAGCGCACGACUCAUAAUCGUGAGGUCGCGGGUUCGAUCCCCCCCCUCGGUACCA
rnacentral:tRNA from 1 species